rnacentral:misc_RNA from 1 species
ACAAACUUGGUCAUUUAGAGGAAGUAAAAGUCGUAACAAGGUCUCCGUUGGUGAACCAGCGGAGGGAUCAUUAAAGAGUUUACACAACUCCCACACCCAUGUGAACGUACUUCUGUUGCCUCGGCAGGUCGCAGCCUACCCUGUGAGGCCCUACCCUGUAGGGCCCUACCCUGUAGGCCGCGGUGAAGCCCGCCGGCGGCCCACGAAACUCUGUUUAUAACUGUAUCUCUGAAAACGUAACUAAAUAAGUUAAAACUUUCAACAACGGAUCUCUUGGUUCUGGCAUCGAUGAAGAACGCAGC